rnacentral:lncRNA from 1 species
AUUCUGUAUUGUGAUAGGAAUAUGGGUUAUACAGUAUGUCCAUUUGUAAAAACUGAAUGGUUAUGAUUUAUGCAUUUUGAUGCUAAUUUUACCUUAAAAUGCUAAAAUAACUUUAAGAAUCAUUAUCAUUGAAUGGUGGUGAGAAAUGGGUAGAGAAGGACAGGAUACAAGAAGGGCAGAAUGCUGUUUCCUGUCUAAUCCAAACACCUGAAGGAAACAGAAAGGUAGGAAGCUGGUGAUGAUAUUUAACAUGGAGGUCAUUUCAGCAUUCUAGAAGGAACCCAAACUGCUUAAUAUUUUUACUGGAAUAGCACAACCCUCUGGGGAUCA